AGCCAAACUAGUAAUCCAAAUGAACGAAUGGCACAUUCAUUCAGUACACAUUGGUUAGUUCGACUCACUCACCUUAGAUUUGAUGGGAGUGAGCAGAACUAACGAAUGAGCACAGAAUGAAUGUGCCAUUUUUUCAUUUGGGUUACUAGUUUGGCUCUUUGAUUUACAGACAAUGUAAUUU